AGAGGAGAUUUAAUGGUGAGCUGAAAACUUGUGGCGUUCAUGAUCUGGUGUGCGGCUUGAUUUUAAGAGAAGCUGAGAAAGAGAAGUUCUUGCAGGUUACCAGGAUACAUGAUGUUAUCAGAAGAUUCAGUCAUUCAGUUAGUAAGCCUCAUGUUCAUCGCUACCAUUACCAUUCAAGCAUUUCCCUGCGUGAUUGUUGGAUUUCCUCAUCUAGUUACACUCGAACUUUGUACUUAUUCAAUGGACUAAAACAUGUAUCCACCGCUUAAGCAAAUUCCUUUUUUGUCGCGUUUCUAAGGGUGUCGGCAAUCCUUCAGCAUACCUUUCGAGAAUUCCCACUUGAGUUCAGCAAAAUUAGUACAUCUCAGAUACCUUGAAUUCAACUGUUAUGAUGAUCUUCAUAGAUCAGUGUCAGAGAUUUAUAAUAUGCUGAGCUUGAUUUUUGGCCGACAUUCUAAUUUACCUGUGGAUAUCUGGAAGUCGAAACUUUUGAGGCAUCUUCAGAUAUAAGGAUCUCUUCCUUUCAUGUUCAAUCAAGUAUCAAGCUGCAAAAUCUCGAGGGACUCUCAGAUCCAAGUAUUUCCUGCUGUACUACGGAAUUGUUUUCUGGUAUUCCUAAUCUGAAGAGGCUGAAAAUUCAUGGAGCUUGGGCAGAAUGCACGACAGAUAUGAUCUUCCAGACGCUAAAUAGCGUUUCUUGUUUAAAUCAACUUGAAAUAUUGAAGAUCAUAUGCUGCAGAAAAUUAUACCCCCACCGACUCCCAAGUAUGCAUGCUUUGCCUACAUCUCUGAAGAGGUUGACGUUAAGCUGUACUUAUUUACCAUGGGAAGACAUGGCAAAUAUUGUAAUGUUGCCAAACCUCCUCGUGCUUAAAAUUAAAGACAAUGGAUUUGAUGGUGAUGCAUGGAGAUUUAAGUGAUGAAGAGAUUUUCAAUCAACUUAAGUUCCUCUUAAUCCAUAGGACAAAUCUGAAGCGCUGGGAAGCUGGCAGUGUUAACUUCUCCAAGCUGCAACGCCUAGCUCUGAAAAGAUGCAUAUACCUGGAGGAAAUACCUAAAGACUUUGGGGAAAUUUAUGCGUUGGAGUCAAUAGAAAUACAUAAUUGCAGAACUUCUGCUGCAAAAUCCGUCAAAGAAAUUCAAGAAGAGCAAGAGAGCAUGGCAAAUGACUGCCUUAGUGUCUGCAUCCACGAGAAACCUUAAUUUCUUUCCCUUCCAGGGUGGGAUUAAUGAUAUUUAAUUCAAGAAGGCUGAUCAUGCUCAAUAGCAGAAGCUUUUUAAGAUCAAGAAAGCAGAAUCAUCUACUUUUAGGUUAGAAGAUGUGAGAUUACUUGUUACUUAUUCAUUAACAAGUAACUUUUUUCUUUUCUACUAUACCUUCAUGACUAACAGGAUAUACAAUGUACCUGGAACUUACUGCUAGUCAUUGUUUUUCAUUUUUGUUUUAUUCUUUAAAGCUCAAAAUGAAUGAGUGGGUGGUUUGUAUCUGUUUGGGAUAUCGUUCUCGUGUAGAGAACUUAAUUGAUCUAAGCCAAGA